GACGAACGCUGGCGGCGUGCUUAACACAUGCAAGUCGAACGCUGAAGACCUGGCUUUUGUUGGGUUGGAUGAGUGGCGAACGGGUGAGUAACACGUGAGUAACCUGCCCUCUUCUUUGGGAUAACGCCCGGAAACGGGUGCUAAUACUGGAUAUUCACUGGCCUUCGCAUGGGGGUUGGUGGAAAGGUUUGUUCUGGUGGGGGAUGGGCUCGCGGCCUAUCAGCUUGUUGGUGGGGUGAUGGCCUACCAAGGCUUUGACGGGUAGCCGGCCUGAGAGGGUGACCGGUCACAUUGGGACUGAGAUACGGCCCAGACUCCUACGCGAGGCAGCAGUGGGGAAUAUUGCACAAUGGGCGAAAGCCUGAUGCAGCGACGCCGCGUGAGGGAUGGAGGCCUUCGGGUUGUAAACCUCUUUCGCUCAUGGUCAAGCCGCAACUGUGGGUUGUGGUGAGGGUAGUGGGUAAAGAAGCGCCGGCUAACUACGUG
rnacentral:rRNA from 1 species